CAUGAGAAAGUUAUACAACUCAUUCAUAGAUUUACAAUCUACCGACUUAAAUCGACCACCUCAUA
rnacentral:tRNA from 1 species